UCCCUCACAAUGGAAUAGCUGUUGGCCAAAGAACCUCCACCUAAAAUGAAGACAGAGGAGUGGAUCGAGCUCGUAAAGUACUGGUGUGACCCAAAGAAUCAGGAGAAAUCUGCGAAGAAUAAAGUAAACCGAUCCAAGGUGCAGCUUCACCAAAAAACUGGUUCUAGGUCCUACAUAGCCUAUCGAUACAGCCUGAGGCCUAAGUACAACAACAGCGAUCCAGAUGCUGUAGAGUUCUUUGGGGAAUGUAUGAAAAGUUCC